CUGAGAGAAGGAGGACUUGGGGACUUUCCAAUUUGCCUGAAGAAGCGUUAACGAAGGAACUCUGGAGAGCAUCCUCCAAGACAAGAUGCAAUAUCCUGGAACGGCCAUAAUUAAUGUCUUACCACAUCAGCCAAUGGGAGAAAAAAGAGGAAGAAAAGUUGCUUCCAGCUGUUGCUUUGUCCAUCACACAACAUCAGGGCACAGGAUGUGAUAUACAAGAGAUAUCUCUGCUAACAUAGCUGACAGAAGCCCAAACAUAGAGCCAGGUUUAUAUCCUUUGAACCUUUUUCAUGUACGGUGGAAUAUUGCUAUGUUUCUCCUCAGUAUUCCUUGGCCUUUGCUAAGCUAGUACUUGCUGAAGACCCGAUGUGAGAGAACCUCAAAUGAAAGCAAACAGACAGAAGACAAAAAAGAUGUUUCUAUCACCCUGAAGGACAAAAGAUAGUUCCUCCUUCCAUCUUGGAAAAUUCUAGUAUUAAAUGCUUCUUGUGGUAUUAAGAAAGCUGUAAUCCUACUGAGAAUGUGUAUAUGUGGGGCAGGAGCAGGGGAAACUUGUACAUAA